UGACAUUUGGGAAGGAUACUAAACAAGCCAGA
rnacentral:piRNA from 1 species